rnacentral:rRNA from 1 species
UUAAGUUAAUAAGGGCGCACGGUGGAUGCCUUGGCACUAGAAGCCGAAGAAGGACGUGACAAACGACGAAAUGCUUUGGGGAGCUGUAAGUAAGCGCUGAUCCAGAGAUGUCCGAAUGGGGGAACCCACUAACUAAUGGUUAGUAUCCAUAACUGUUAAGGUUAUGAGAAGGAAGACGCAGUGAACUGAAACAUCUAAGUAGCUGCAGGAAGAGAAAGCAAACGCGAUUGCCUUAGUAGCGGCGAGCGAAACGGCAAGAGGGCAAACCGAAGUGUUUACACUUCGGGGUUGUAGGACUGCGACGUGGGACUUUAAAAGGAUAGAAGAAUUACCUGGGAAGGUAAGCCAAAGAGAGUAAAAGCCUCGUACUUAAAAUUCUUUUGAGCCCUAGCAGUAUCCUGAGUACGGCGAGACACGUGAAAUCUCGUUGGAAUCUGGGAGGACCAUCUCCCAACCCUAAAUACUCUCUAGUGACCGAUAGUGAACCAGUACCGUGAGGGAAAGGUGAAAAGCACCCCGGGAGGGGAGUGAAAUAGAACCUGAAACCGUGUGCCUACAACAAGUUCGAGCCCGUUAAUGGGUGAGAGCGUGCCUUUUGUAGAAUGAACCGGCGAGUUACGAUAUGAUGCGAGGUUAAGUUGAAGAGACGGAGCCGUAGGGAAACCGAGUCUUAAUAGGGCGAUUUAGUAUCAUGUUGUAGACCCGAAACCAUGUGACCUACCCAUGAGCAGGUUGAAGGUGAGGUAAAACUCACUGGAGGACCGAACCAGGGCACGUUGAAAAGUGCUUGGAUGACUUGUGGGUAGCGGAGAAAUUCCAAACGAACUUGGAGAUAGCUGGUUCUCUCCGAAAUAGCUUUAGGGCUAGCGUCGAUGUUAAGUCUCUUGGAGGUAGAGCACUGUUUGGGUGAGGGGUCCAUCUCGGAUUACCAAUCUCAGAUAAACUCCG